CCACACCUGGAAGGGAAAGGAGACAAAAGCUGCUCAGCCAAGGGAAGCCCCUCUGAGCAGAGCAUGGCUUGGCUGCUUCCCGCGUCCCGCAGCCAGCGGAGCUGUCACUGCUCCGUGUAAACAGGAAGGGAAUUGGGGAGGGAAUCAUUCCCAGCUGUCAAUAAACCCUUGGCUGAUCCAUGAGGAACAUCCUCACUUGUGUGCCAGCACAAACCCUCAGCUCAUCGUGUUGGAACUCCUUUAUUUCCAUGUCCACAGACCCACCCCACUCCUGUUCGCCAAGGAGUCUGAAAGAUCUCCCCUGCAGCUCCAAUUCCAUGGGAACGAGCUCCUGUCUUUCCAAACUGUGCUGGUCCUUCAGAGGGAUGAUGCUGCAGCUCUACCACUGCCUGCUUUUCAUUUCUUUAUAACACCAGCAAUUUUUCCCAUUAGAUUCAGGAUCCUUCCAGAUCCCAUUUAACCAGGGAAGAGCAGCUUGGUCCUGGAAGCAGCCAGAGCAGCCCAAAUCAAACCCUGCCCGUUCACUUCUUGCCUGGUUACACAACCCAUCUGUUGCAAACUUCCUCAGGGAAGGGCCACCAGGAGGAGGAACAGCCCCCCAAGGAUGCCAGAGCACUGGAAUUCCAGCAGGAGGGAGGCAACUUUUACAGCUGGCAGCAACCAGAGAUGGGACAGGAAAACCCAUCACCCCCAAAGCCCCAGGGCAGGAUCAGUCCCACCAAAACUAUUCCUGAAAUUCAGCACUGGACAAUCAUCUUGGAAUUGGAUCUGACCUACAUAGAGUGUAUUAAAAAACGACAUGGAAUUCCAGGGAGAGCUCCUCGGGGAGCAGUUGGAGCUGCUGUAGGAAUGAGUGGCACUGAAAAAAACCCAGCAGAGAUUCUCAGUGGGUACCAGCUCACCUCUAAAUAACUAAAUAACCCAAAACUGAUUCAGUUCUUCAUGGACACAGAUCCCAGUGCCCUCAGCAUCCCAGGAGGAAUGACCACAAUGGGAACACCUCCCCAGGAGAGGAUUCCUCUGCAAGAGGUGAAAAUGGUCACAGCCCCAAGGCUGCCAGAGCUCCAGGAGCCUUUGGACAAGGCUGUCAGGGUGGGAUUGUUGGGACUGCAGGGACAGGAUCAAACCAGGCUCACAGGGAAAUUACAGAACUUCAGAUGCAGGACUCACCCUGCCAAGGGGGAAGACUCAGUUCUGUUCUGCACCACCUCAGCCAGGAAGGAUCCUGAGAUCCCUCUGAGCGAGUGCAAAGGAGCUAGAAAAUUCCAGAACCAAAUUUAAACAUAAGACAACAAGGGCAGGGGGUGGGAAAGGGAAGGGAGGCAAAAUCCCAGUGAAAAGGGGAUUUUUUUUCAAAAAAGCCUCUGGAGGACAGAUGGAAUUUUCUGUCAGGUGAAAAAGCCCUGGUAGCUGGGAGCAGCUGCAGAGCAGCGUAAUCCUGGGCAGAUUUCAGACUACUGACCCAAAUAAUCCUGCCUGAUAGUCCCAAAAAUAAUAAAGAAACACGUGUGAAAGGUCAGGGCAUGGUCCCAACUGGCCCAGCCCCUCGUUCCUGCACAGGGUGGGGGUCUGGCCUCAGCCUGGGAUCAGAUCAGGUUCACAGGGAAAUUACAGAAUUUUGGAAGCAGGACUUACCCUGCUGAGGGAGAGGACUCAGGAUGACUCCAAGGAAACCUUAAAAUGCUGCAGGAUUGCCUGGGCUUUGGGAAGUGUUUGUCAGCUCUCCCUGCCGUGGGUGUCUGGGUGUUUUUUGGGGGGGUUGAUGUUAUCAAAGCUGUUUGUUUGUACAGGAGGAAGUGGAGCUGUGGCACAGCUGAGGGAGAGCUUUGGGGCUGCAGGAAGGGCAGGAGGGGAAGGUUUUGCACAAACAGCACGCGAGAAAGAAAACAAAGCAAACUUUUCUUUCACCCCCAAAGCAAAAACGGCCUCCUCUGGCUCUGCAUUAGUUGAAAAGAAGAUUAAAUCUAUGUCUAUAAAAAGCA